UACGUAGGUGGCAAGCGUUAUCCGGAAUUAUUGGGCGUAAAGCGCGCGCAGGCGGUUUCUUAAGUCCUGCGUGAAAUCCUGCGGCUCAACCGCAGACGGUCGUGGGAAACUGGAUGGCUAGAGUGCGGGAGAGGAGAGUGGAAUUCCCGGUGUAGCGGUGAAAUGCGCAGAUAUCGGGAAGAACACCCGUGGCGAAGGCGGCUCUCUGGAACGCAACUGACGCUGAGACGCGAAAGCGUGGGGAGCAAACAGG
rnacentral:rRNA from 1 species